CCUGCCCAGCAUGUAUAUUUUUGAUUUGCCUGAAUGAUAAUUUUGUAUGACCAACAAAGAGAAGCUAGUUACUGAAGUCAAAAUGAUGAGAAUUCUGGAGGUAAGUAACCACUCCACCUUAGAACCUAUGAUGGAGAUGAAAGCCAGGUGUCUAAUAUACAGCUGAGAUUCAAGGAGAGCAUAUUUCAAAGGUUUUUGAGGAAGGAUAAGUACAUUGCACGGUCUAAAGGGCAAGCAAGGCCUAUGAGGGAUGAGAAACUCGCAAGAAUGAAACCAUUAAGUUACAAACAUGAACAAUUCCGAAAUGGUGGAAGAACCAACAUGGGAAACAUUCUAAGUCUGAUUCUCACCAACAAAGAGGAACUGGUUACUGGUGAUGAUGUGACCCUUGGAGAGAAGUGACCACUCCACCUUAGAAUUUAGAUGACGAGGGAGAAGUGGGGGCAUGAUCUGCCUUGCCCCCUAAAUGUUAGGAGACCAGAUUUCAAAGCACACAGAAGAAAGAUAGGCUGGAUACCAUGGACCAGAAUUCUACAGGGGAAGUCAGCCUAGGAGAGAUGGGAGAUGCAUGACAACACCAUUCUGAAAACACAAAGAAAAAUGAUUCCCAGGACAAAAAAAAAAAGAUGGAGUUGUCUUAUGAGACCAAUAUGUAUAUACAGGGAACUCAUCAAUCAACUUAGGAUUAAGAAAGACAUGCACAGAAGAUGGACACAAGGACAGCCCAGUGUUCCACACAUAGUAGUUGCUGAAUUAACAUUGUUUUUGUGAUUUGUGAUUCAUCCUGGGAACCUGACCCCCGUAUAUAGUUCAAACGGUCUUCAUAGAAUCUCAGAAUCGUGGCAUUUAAGAUGUGGAAGAGACUUCAGAAGCCAUCUAACCCAACCCCCAAACGAAAGGAAUCCUCAAUAUAAUGUGCCUGACAAGUGACCCUCUGGUCUCUGCUGAAGACCUCCAAGAAGGGUAGCCCAGUGCCUCCAGAGGUGGCCCACUCCUUCUGCUGUCCAGCUCUCCUUGUCCAGGUUAGCAAAAGGAGACAGACAGAGAGGUCUGCAGAUUCCAGGGAUGGGGUCUAGUCAAGAAGGGCCAGCUGGAGCAUUCCAAUGUAUGGACUGAAAAAGGGCUAAAGCUAAGCACCUGGGCAAAGAGAGACCCACACAGAGGUGCCUGAUUUUGUGUAGGAUAAAGGAACAGGUGCCAACUAGUAACUCUACUGCUCACUACCCAGUUCUGGUACACAGAUCUAGGGUGAACUGAGAGGACUUGUGCCCAGGGGUGGCAUUUCAAGACGAGGAGUGAUUGCAUGCCCAAGGUUACGUACUAAGCAAAGAGCAAGUCCAAAAGCAAGAAACAGUUGUGUGGUGUUGAGCCCUCCGAGAGUCUCAGUUCCAGCAUUCAGUCCAGUCUGGCACCUGAAGUGAAGUAACCAGUGCAGGAAACUCAAACCAAAGGGCGGGCGGUCUGUGGUGUUGUUGCUAUGAUCCAGCAGAGCUUUCCAGCAGGCCGAGUCCAGAAGAAGUCUACUGAAACUCCACCUAUGGGUAAGCCCACAGGUAUGUUGCUCAGACCCAAAUGCAGGUCAGGAACUUGCAGGGCUCAGACCAGAAUGGUGACAAAUAGACUUUGCCCUGGAUUCAAGGUUUCUCUGGGAACACUGAAAGAUUUUCAGGUCCCCAGCUUGAACUAUCCCUAAGAUCUUGGAAUGGCAUAACACUCCAUGUUCCAAGAAAGUAGCAGCAGGACCCAAAAGGACAGAAGCUCAGCUGAGACGUGGAAGUGAACAGAACCUGGCCCUAACAUGAAUUCUGAAGCCAGAAAGUAGGCUAGAAGAAAGAGCAAAUAACAACGACAAGAAGAAGAAUCCCAUUAUAUAGAGCUAUUAUGGUUGUAGGGAUGCUCAAGACACAAAUCCAGAAGGAAAGAAUGACUCUAAAACAUCUACAAGCAAAGCCUCAAAGAAAAACACAGCUUAGGCACGAGUUCAACUAGAAGUUCUGGAACAGACCAAGCUAGAGUUUAAAAAAUAUUUGUUCAAAUAAAAUGAGAGUGCUAAUAGAAAAAAAAUGGAAAAGAAAUAAGAGCUAUGCAAGAAAGAACUUCAAAUAAAAUUAGCAGCUUUGCACAGAGGUACAAAAUCUUAUCUGAGCAACAAACCAUAAAAAUUAAAA